rnacentral:rRNA from 1 species
AAUUUGUUUCUUAAUUAGAUAAAAGAAUGAAAGAAGCCACCCUUUCUAUAAGUUUUAUAGGAAUGAUUACUUGAAUUUUAAGGUUUUGUGAAAAUGCAGAAAUACUAUAUUUAGACGAUAAGACCCUAUGAAGCUUAAGCAAAAGAUAUAAAACUAGAUUAUUUAUUUAACAGUGUGCUUCUAUUGGGGUAAUUUAUAAUAAAAGUAUUAUUACUUAUAUUUAAGGCAUUGAUCCUAAUGAGAUCCUAUUAGUUAGCUACUCUAGGGAUAACAGCACAAUUAGUAAAAGAGUCCUUAUUAGAAUACUUGC